GCUGAGUUGUCAUGUCCCUUGGGGAUGUCUGCUGUCACCGUGUCCCCUCCAGACCACUGCUGUCCCCUGCACACCUGCGAGUGUGCGUGUGACAAACUGUCGAAGCCAAAAUGUGUUCUGGGAGAGACCAUGCAGGUUGACAGGGCUUUCCUAGCAGACCCAACUAACCAGUGUUCCUGUAAGAGAUUUAACUGUG